rnacentral:lncRNA from 1 species
CAACAGAAGUGUUUACUUCAUUCCACGUUGUUAUAUUGAAGGUAUACAGCCAAUUACAGGGUUUACCCCCUUUUUAAAGUUUUAAAAAAUCCAUCUUCCCUUUUUUUCAUACGACGCGCCUUUUUCAUGUAAAUAAUAAAAUAUGUUGACGCUUCCGAAGUAUUCGAAUUAAGUUCCUAAUUAGGUGAAUAUGUAUAGAAACUUAUUUCUAAUACUUUUUUAGGAAAUAGCUUCAGAACAAUAUUAAGGGUUAAGAUGUUUCUUUUUUUACACAAAACGGCGCGUCAUGUGAAAAAAGGGAAGAUAGAUUUUGUCACAAAUUGAACGAGGAAUUCCAAAAUCAUAUUUAAUUUGAAAUAUCUCAGUGGCAUACUAUUUUUUUUUUAAUUCAGACUAUUACCCGUAUGGGGGUCAAUGAUGAAUAUAAAAUUCUUAAUAUGUCAAAAAAUGCUCAAUAACUACUUCUUAAAACGCACCAAAUUUCAUUACAAUGUUGCCAGUAGUUUCGUCAAAAUCGUAAAAAAUGUGUAAAAUUUGUUAUUCUUCAACGCCCUAUGUCUUGAAAACGGAUGGCGUUACAAAAAAUUUUAACUAAGGAAACUCCAAUAAUUUUUCAAUUUUUUACCUGUCCUAGUAACACCCUGAAACUCCCUGUAUAAUGCAAUUUUUCAAAUACCAAUAAGUAAAUACUCUUCCUAAAUCACCCUACAUAUUUUUUCUAUUCUCUCGCUCAUUAUAGUCAUAUGAUGUAAUGCUCAAUCUAAAGGAGUCACGAGUAAGCAUUUUGCAAAAACUCAUUGUAUAGGAAACUUCAGAAUAGAAUAAAUAUGUAUAUGUGGAUCUAUUUUCUUGUUCAAAUCAAUGUCUGAGUAGGAAAUCUUUUUGGUAUUUGUCAAAAUUGGUGAUUUUAUUAAUAAGGCAAAUCAUUUCACAAUGUUAUAUUUAUUAUAUUUACACUAUUUAACUAUAUAUUCAUGAUUUCAUUAUAGUGAAAUUUAUGCAUAUACUUUAUUUAUCACUUACAUAUCACACAUGUACAGUUAUUUUCUUAUACCAACAUUACAUUCCCUUAAAGAGAUAGCACAAGUUUAUUUGUUAUUAUGAUUUUUUUUCACUAUUAAUAAAAACCUAAUUAAAUGGAAAAUUUUGAAAACCGUAAGUCAUAAAUAGGCAACCAAUAUUACACUCUCAGGCAAUUGAAAUUUAAAAAGACUGAAAACUUUAUUUGGGCAAUUUUGUUUGCCAUUAGUCUGCAUUCAUCAGUCUGAAUCAAUCAGUUCUUCAUUCGAAGAACAUCUUCAUUGGAUGUGACCAUUUGCGAUACCCACAAAUCUGUAAAAUCCUGUGGUGGCACCACAAUUCGAAUACGUUAAGUUGUUCAGCAUUCUGGAUUUUAUCGUCUAUGUCUUGCAGCCGUACAAUAGGAUCGACUACACAUAGUAUCUCAGGAGUCUCUCACGAAUAUGCAUUGAUGUUUCUGUGAUAUAGGUUUCCAUGUCAUAAAAGCCUUCCGUGACAUUUAGAUGCUGGUUAAUAUCUCUUCGUCAGAGUCACCAAUCACAUUUAACCUGCUGACACUGAUCUACGUUCAACUUUCUACACAUCUACAUCCAACUAUCAUUUUACUGUCUAUUUUUACUCCUUUCAGUUUAUCAUCUAUUAUAGCUUCUAAAAAUUUCUUCGGGCUAUAUAUUGUUGUACUCCAUGUUCAGUAGGUAGGUUUUGUCCAAUCCUCUACUUUAAUUUUUUUACAUUUUAAUGUUCUUUUGAAAUCGUUGGUUUAUAAAAAUCUGGUUUCAUAAUAUUCUGCCUUGAAAGUAUUUCCACGUGUACAGAUGUAUUUCUGAAACCAGUUUCAAGGUCAAUUUCUUGUCAGAAUUCGAUCAGACGUUCACCCCUUUCAUCAUUCAAUCUUCGCUUGUCUACUGCUGGACAUAGAUCUCCCUAUAUAAUUUUCCAUGUUUUUGAUCUUGUGCCUCUUGAAUCCAAUUCUUAAGGCAACAUCUCAGAUCGUCAUUCCAACGUGUUGGUGCGUUGCUAUAUUUCUCUAUGAUGCCCAUUAAACUGUUUUAAGCAUGAAUUUGAUGGGUAUUGUCAAAAAUUUUGGUAAAUACAAUGUGGUAAGAAAAUUUU